rnacentral:rRNA from 1 species
AGUCUCCUGAAGGAACGUUGAAGAUGACGACGUUGAUAGGCCGGGUGUGUAAGCGCAGCGAUGCGUUGAGCUAACCGGUACUAAUGAACCGUGAGGCUUAACCUUACAACGCCGAAG